GUAGGUGGCAAGCGUUGUCCGGAAUUAUUGGGCGUAAGCGCGCGCAGGCGGUUCUUUAAGUCUGAUGUGAAAGCCCACGGCUCAACCGUGGAGGGUCAUUGGAAACUGGAGAACUUGAGUACAGAAGAGGAAAGCGGAAUUCCACGUGUAGCGGUGAAAUGCGUAGAGAUGUGGAGGAACACCAGUGGCGAAGGCGGCUUUCUGGUCUGUAACUGACGCUGAGGCGCGAAAGCGUGGGGAGCAAACAGGAUUAGAUACCCUGGUAGUCCACGCCGUAAACGAUGAGUGCUAAGUGUUAGGGGGGUUUUCCGCCCCCCUUAGUGCUGCAGCUAACGCAUUAAGCACUCCGCCUGGGAGUACGGCCGCAAGGCUG
rnacentral:rRNA from 1 species